rnacentral:rRNA from 1 species
GACGAACGCUGGCGGCGUGCCUAAUACAUGCCAGUCGAACGCUGAAGGAGGAGCUUGCUCUUCUGGAUGAGUUGCGAACGGGUGAGUAACGCGUAGGUAACCUGCCUGGUAGCGGGGGAUAACUAUUGGAAACGAUAGCUAAUACCGCAUAACAGUAGAUGUUGCAUGACAUUUACUUAAAAGGUGCAAUUGCAUCACUACCAGAUGGACCUGCGUUGUAUUAGCUAGUUGGUGGGGUAACGGCUCACCAAGGCGACGAUACAUAGCCGACCUGAGAGGGUGAUCGGCCACACUGAGACUGAGACACGGCCCAGACUCCUACGGGAGGCAGCAGUAGGGAAUCUUCGGCAAUGGACGGAAGUCUGACCGAGCAACGCCGCGUGAGUGAAGAAGGGUUUCGGAUCGUAAAGCUCUGUUGUAAGAGAAGAACGAGUGUGAGAGUGGAAAGUUCACACUGUGACGGUAGCUUACCAGAAAGGGACGGCUAACUACGUG